CCGCUCGAAGAUGAAGAACUGAUCGCGUACAUGUUGCGCGGUCUGGGCCCCGACUACGACUCGCUCGUCACCAGCAUCACCACGCGCCCUGAUUCCUACUCCAUUAGUGAUGUCUAUGCGCACAUGCUCAGCUUUGAGA